CAUCACUACGCUAGAUGCAUAUCAAUAAGCGGAGGAAAAGAAACUAACUAGGAUUCCCUCAGUAACGGCGAGUGAAGCGGGAAGAGCUCAAAUUUGAAAUCUUCAAGGUUUUACCUUGACGAAUUGUAGUUUAAAGAAGUGUUUUCUGUUGAAGUUUUGGUAAAAGUUCUUUGGAAUAGGACAUCAUAGAGGGUGAGAAUCCCGUAUUUGACCGUUACUUUCCAGCUGUGUGAUACACUUUCAAAGAGUCGGAUUGUUUGGGAAUGCAGUCCAAGAUGGGUGGUAAAUUUCAUCUAAAGCUAAAUAUUGGCGAGAGACCGAUAGCGAACAAGUACCGUGAGGGAAAGAUGAAAAGAACUUUGAAAAGAGAGUUAAACAGUACGUGAAAUUGUCAAAAGGGAAGCGUUUGACACCAGUGUUGUUUAGUUGAAAAUCAAUUCAAUAGUUUUUGAUUCUAAGUAGUAUUGACUUCAUCAGCUUGCUGCUUUCUUCUCAGAAAUUAUUGAAUGCACUUUUCAGUUAACAAGUCAACAUCAAUUUCUUUUGUUGUAAAAGGGUAAGAGGAAGGUGGCUUGCGCUUCGGCUCAAGUGUUUAUAGCCUUUUAUCUCUGCAAUCGGAGAGAUUGAGGUCUGCAGCGUAGAUCCUUCGGGGUUAGAUACAUUGGUGCUAAGCUAUAGCCUUGUAUAGACAACUUGUUGACUAUGCUCAGUCAUGUAGCUUACUCGCUGAUGCUAUUUUACCUACGCUUAGGAUGUUGACGCGCGUGUGUGCGUG
rnacentral:rRNA from 1 species